rnacentral:ncRNA from 1 species
GAGAAACCGAUGAGAAAGAGGAGUAGACUUAUCCGGAUGUCACAGAGAGCUGCAGGUGGUGUGAUGCAGUAUGGAAGGAUUUGUUGAAUGGACUUUCGAGGGUGGCCCAAAAGGAAAUCACUUAGUAGGCGUCACCGGGAACCGAGCCCGUUACCAAUUCGGCAUGUAUGACAUCGUACGUGAAAGAGUGGACAUUUGUCAAUUUGAGUGGUACCGCGAUAAUAAGAUUUUAUUACCGUCUCAAGC